AAAUCCGGCGAGAUCGCUAAACAUAUAUGUACAUUACCCCAAUCCCAAAGGGAUCAAAACUACAUUGAGAGCGCACUCUCGAAGAAACUAGUGAAACUAUGGGCGCAAACGCCCGGCGCUGCUCUUGGGCCGUCCGCCUCCCAGGUGACUCCACCGCGGAGCUUGAAGCCACCUGCUUCGCCUCGCCACUCCUCCACUCGAUCACAAUGAUGCCAAGCCAGACGAACACCAUGUCGAUCUAGCUCAACGUCGUCGCAGCCAAGCGGUCCAACUCGAGCACGAUGACCCGGCGUCGCUCAUGGGUCACUCGCCUCCAAGGUGACUCCACUGCACAAGCUGAAGCCACCUGUUACGCCCCAAGACGUGAUGCUGUGUCUUGGAGCGCCUACCUCCCCAGUGUACUUCCAGCACUAAGUCAGUGCCCAUUGCGAACAAACUCCAAGGCGUAGAACAAGCAAGGUGUGAGCCUCCUCCAGCUCUAGACUAGAGCGUGCUACCUUGCCUCCCACACUAGACAAGUGCGCUGGCCCCCUUCAAUGAUAUACAAGCCCCCGUUGCCGGCAUCGCGACAAUCACAAGACUUGCAAGCCUCCGCAAACCUCCUCAAAGGACUAGCCCUGAAGCAAGAACCAUGUGGGAUUCCCUCCGCGAGCAAACCAACUCGGCCAUCCGCCACUGGCCCCCUUUGUGACAGCACUUCCCUGUCACUAGAUCCAAAAAUGCGCCCAUAGUGUCUUCCACGUCCAUCCACCACGGACACUUCGCUAUGUCGGGAUGUCGUCCCGAACUGUCCUCCACCAGUCAACAAAGAUCCCAUGACUUGGUCGUGUUUCCACGACUCAAGUCGCCAAGAACUUCCGACACAUGCAGCUUCACGCUCUCCGUACCUUAGUCGCCACCUUGCAUGGCCCGACCUAAGGCGAGAAAUCCCGCUCGAAGCUGCAAGACCAGCAACCGUCGCGUUUCCACCAUGUUGCUGCCGUGCCAACCACACAAAAUCCGGCGAGAUCGCUAAACAUAUAUGUACAUUACCCCAAUCCCAAAGGGAUCAAAACUACAUUGAGAGCGCACUCUCGAAGAAACUAGUGAAACUAUGAGCGCGAACGCCCGGCGCUGCUCUUGGGCCGUCCGCCUCCCAGGUGACUCCACCGCGGAGCUUGAAGCCACCUGCUUCGCCUCGCCACUCCUCCACUCGAUCACAAUGAUGCCAAGCCAGACGAACACCAUGUCGAUCUAGCUCGACGUCGUCGCAGCCAAGCGGUCCAACUCGAGCACGAUGACCCAGCGUCGCUCAUGGGUCACUCGCCUCCAAGGUGACUCCACUGCACAAGCUGAAGCCACCUGUUACG
rnacentral:lncRNA from 1 species